UUUCAAUAAGCUCUGUAAUCAUAUUUAUAUGACAUUGUCAGAAAACGUCCUCAAAAUGCCAUAAAAUUUGCAAAAUCUCUGAGGAAUAUGAAAUCGGAAGUUGUGCGAGUCGUCCAAGUUUGCGCCAUUGUUUUCUUGGUUAUCACUGCUAUCAAAAUGAUUCGUUAACAAUUUAAGUCAGAGAAAGGAUAUGAAAUUCAUAGUGACCACAAGAAGAAAAUUAUAAAAACUAUUUCCAAGGAAAUACAUACAAUUUGGGCUGGAAAUUAAAUACAUUUGAGCCUGCAAUAAUUAAAGUGGGAAUUGUGCUUCUUUGGACAGUGGCAGUUACAAAGAUCAUCUCAGACUGUUAGUACUAAUCUAACAUAACCAAUAAAGCACCAAAAAGGUUUCAUUUAUUUGCUAAAUUAUUGUUUUAGUGGUUUAAUGUAUUGAAUAAAAAUGUGGCAUAAACCUUGGAAAUGCAAACAAUUA